rnacentral:rRNA from 1 species
UACGUAGGGGGCAAGCGUUGUCCGGAUUUAUUGGGCGUAAAGAGCGUGUAGGCGGCCAGGUAGGUCUGCUGUGAAAACUCGAGGCUUAACCUCGAGAUGUCGGCGGAAACCAUCUGGCUAGAGUCCGGAAGAGGAGAAUGGAAUUCCCGGUGUAGCGGUGAAAUGCGCAGAUAUCGGGAAGAACACCCGUGGCGAAGGCGGUUCUCUGGGACGGUACUGACGCUGAGACGCGAAAGCGUGGGGAGCGAACGGG